rnacentral:rRNA from 1 species
UACAGAGGUCUCAAGCGUUGUUCGGAUUCAUUGGGCGUAAAGAGCGCGUAGGCGGUCCGAUAAGUCGGCUGUGAAAGUCAGGGGCUCAACCCUUGAAAGCCGGCCGAUACUGUCGGACUAGAGUCCGGAAGAGGCAAGUGGAAUUCCCGGUGUAGCGGUGAAAUGCGCAGAUAUCGGGAGGAACACCAAUGGCGAAGGCAGCUUGCUGGGACGGUACUGACGCUGAGGCGCGAAAGCGUGGGGAGCAAACAGG